ACCAGACUCCUACGGGAGGCAGCAGUGGGGGAUAUUGCACAAUGGGGGGAACCCUGAUGCAGCGACGCCGCGUGGGUGAAGAAGCGCCUCGGCGCGUAAAGCCCUGUCAGCAGGGAAGAAAAUGACGGUACCUGAAGAAGAAGCCCCGGCUAACUACGUGCCAGCAGCCGCGGUAAUACGUAGAGGGCAAGCGUUAUUCGGAUUUACUGGGUGUAAAGGGGGCGCAGACGGCGAUGCAAGCCAGGAGUGAAAGCCCGGGGCCCAACCCCGGGACUGCUCUUGGAACUGCGUGGCUGGAGUGCAGGAGGGGCAGGCGGAAUUCCUGGUGUAGCGGUGAAAUGCGUAGAUAUCAGGAGGAACACCGGUGGCGAAGGCGGCCUGCUGGACUGCAACUGACGUUGAGGCCCGAAAGCGUGGGGAGCAAACAGGAUUAGAUACCCGCGUA
rnacentral:rRNA from 1 species